rnacentral:rRNA from 1 species
GGGCGUGCUACUCAGUCGGCGGAUGAGGUAGCUUGUCUCUGGAUUCAGCGGCGGACGGGUGAGUAAUGCUUAGGAAUCUGCCUGUUAGUGGGGGACAACGUUCCGAAAGGAGCGCUAAUACCGCAUACGUCCUACGGGAGAAAGCAGGGGACCUUCGGGCCUUGCGCUAUUAGAUGAGCCUAGGUCGGAUUAGCUAGUUGGUGGGGUAAAGGCCUCACCAAGGCGACGAUCCGUAGCGGGUCUGAGAGGAUGAUCCGCCACACUGGAACUGAGACACGGCCCAGACUCCUACGGGAGGCAGCAGUGGGGAAUAUUGGACAAUGGGGGAAACCCUGAUCCAGCCAUGCCGCGUGUGUGAAGAAGGCCUUCGGAUUGUAAAGCACUUUAAGUUGGGAGGAGGGUACCUAGAUUAAUACUUUGCGAUAGUGGACGUUACUCGCAGAAUAAGCACCGGCUAACUCUGUGCCAGCAGCCGCGGUAAUACAGAGGGUGCGAGCGUUAAUCGGAUUUACUGGGCGUAAAGCGUGCGUAGGCGGUCAAUUAAGUCAAAUGUGAAAUCCCCGAGCUUAACUUGGGAAUUGCAUUCGAUACUGGUUGGCUAGAGUAUGGUAGAGGAUGGUAGAAUUCCAGGUGUAGCGGUGAAAUGCGUAGAGAUCUGGAGGAAUACCGAUGGCGAAGGAAGCCAUCUGGCCUAAUACUGACGCUGAGGUGCGAAAGCAUGGGGAGCAAACAGGAUUAGAUACCCUGGUAGUCCACGCCGUAAACGAUGUCUACUAGCCGUUGGGGCCCUUGAGGCUUUAGUGGCGCAGCUAACGCGAUAAGUAGACCGCCUGGGGAGUACGGUCGCAAGGUUAAAACUCAAAUGAAUUGACGGGGGCCCGCACAAGCGGUGGAGCAUGUGGUUUAAUUCGAUGCAACGCGAAGAACCUUACCUGGCCUUGACAUACAGAGAACUUUCCAGAGAUGGAUUGGUGCCUUCGGGAACUCUGAUACAGGUGCUGCAUGGCUGUCGUCAGCUCGUACGAUGCG